ensembl:snRNA U6 U6 spliceosomal RNA
GUGGAAAAGAAUCCGCCUGCCAAUGCAGGAACAAUACAGGGAAGAUUAGCAUGGCCCCUGGGUGAGGAUGACAGGCAAACUGGUGAACGCAUUCCAUAUUUUA